AACGCACCUUGCGCUCCUUGGUAUUCCGAGGAGCAUGCCUGUUUGAGUGUCAUUAAAUUCUCAACCUUUGUCAACUUUUUUGGUUGGUAAAUGGCUUGGAUGUGGGGGUAUGCAGGUUUCUCUUUGAAAUCAGCUCCUCUGAAAUGUAUUAGCUGGUUGCCCUCUGUAAACCUGUCUAUUGGUGUGAUAAUUAUCUACGCCGUGGACUGUUUGCUGUUUUUAGCACUGCUUCUAACCGUCUGUUCAUUCAGACAAUAUAUGACAAUUUGACCUCAAAUCAGGUAGGACUACCCGCUGAACUUAA
rnacentral:misc_RNA from 1 species